GACGAACGCUGGCGGCAUGCCUAACACAUGCAAGUCGAACGGAAACGCCCGGCUUUGUUGGGCUGCGCGAGUGGCGAAGGGGUGAGUUACACGUGGGUAACGUGUACUUGAGUUUGGGAUAACUUAAGGAAACUGGGGCUAAUACCGGAUAGGAGCUCCCGCUGCUUGGUGGGGGUUGGAAAGUUUCGGCGGUUGGGGAUGGAAUCGCGGCUUAUCAGAUUGUUGGUUGGGUAGUGGCAUACCAAGGCUUUGACGGGUAGCCGGCCUGAGAGGGUGACCGGCCCCAUUAGGACUGAGAUACGGCCCAGACUCCAACGGGAGGCAGCAGUGGAGAAUAUUGUACAGUGGGAGGGAGCCUGAUGCAGCCCCGCCGCGUGCGGGAAGACGGCAUUCGGGUUGUAAACCGCUUUCGCCUGUGACGAAGCGUGAGUGACGGUAACGGGUGAAGAAGCACCGGCUAACUACGUG
rnacentral:rRNA from 1 species